CAAGUCAUCAUGGCCCUUACGGGCCUGGGCUACACACGUGCUACAAUGGUCGGUACAAAGGGUUGCCAAGCCGCGAGGUGGAGCUAAUCCCAUAAAACCGAUCGUAGUCCGGAUCGCAGUCUGCAACUCGACUGCGUGAAGUCGGAAUCGCUAGUAAUCGUGAAUCAGAAUGUCACGGUGAAUACGUUCCCGGGCCUU
rnacentral:rRNA from 1 species